rnacentral:misc_RNA from 1 species
CAAAGCAGUAGCUAUUGAAUUUGACAACCGUCAGAAUCCAGAAUUUGGAGACCCAAAUGACAACCAUGUUGGAAUCAAUCUUGGCAGCAUCAUUUCUACAUCGACUGUUAAUGCUUCUGAUGUUGGUAUCUCCCUCAAGGAUGGCUCGGUUCACCAAGCUUGGAUUGCAUAUGAUGGUCCUCGCCGCUGGAUGGAUAUACACCUGGGAUCCAAACCAAUCUUCUCGGGUUCUCUUGAUCUCUCUCCCUUUCUCAAUGAAUACAUGUUUAUAGGAUUCUCGGCUUCCACAGGGAAUUUGACCCAAAUCCACAGUAUAUUCUCGUGGAACUUCACCUCCACCAG